rnacentral:snRNA from 1 species
GGGUGUGAGGGUUAUCUGGCUGUGACAUUUGUCACCCCGUUGCUCACCAGGGCUGAUUUGGUUGAUCUGUCUGGCUAGGCAGUUGUCCUCUUCCUCUCUUACUGCUCCAUGUGUGUUCUUUUGGAAGCUGUGUGCUGAGGCAAAGAGGACAACCAUCCCCAAUAGAGAAGGACCAGCCUUCAGUCAAGGGUAGCUGUGCUCCCCUGCUAGAACUUACAAACAAGCUCCCAAAAUAGUAUAUGGGAUGUGUGUAUACUUUAAAAGGAUUAGUCAUUUAUCUGAAAUUCAAAAUUUACCUGGGAAUCCUGCACUGUUU